AUGCCCGCCCCUACCCCGCCCCUUACCUCCCGGCCCCGCCCCCGCCCCGGCUGCGGGGUGGGAGCCGAGCCGCACAUCGCGCAUGCUCUGAGAGCGGCGCCCCCGACGCGGCGCUCGGCUCAGCUCGGGCAUUUCCGCCUCUUUGUUUUAAACUCCGGACGGGCUUUUUUUCUCCUCCUCUUGGGGGGGACCCAGAGGGAGCGGCGCCCCCUCCCCCCUCCGGCGAGGACCCCGUGUGCGCUCCGCUCGCCCGCAGCCCCGAGACCGCAGGUCAGUCAGUCCGCCCCGCCUGGCCUGGGCCUGUGGCGCCCGCUCCUCAGGCUGCGGCCUCGGCCCGUGUCCGGCCCGGAAGGCUCAGAACCCCCGGCCGGCUCUCCGGUAUCCCCGACGGCCUGGCCGGGGAAGCCCUUGGCAGGCCCCGGAGAGGGUUGGAGCCCGGGAGGCCCGGCACCCCAGCCCGGGCAGGACUCCGGGAGGUCGAAGACCCCAGCCCUGGCGGGACCCAGAUCCCAGCCCAGGCGGGACCCCGGGAGGGCCGAGACCUCAGCCCAGGCGGGACGCCGGGAGGGCCGAGACCUCAGCCCAGGCGGGACCCCGGGAGGGCCGAGACCUCAGCCCAGGCGGGACCCCGGGAGGGCGGAGACCCCAGCCCAGGCAGGACCCCGGGAGGUCGAAGACCCCAGCCCAGGCAGGACGCCGGGAAGUCGAAGACCCCAGCCCAGGCAGGACCCCGGGAGGUCGAAGACCCCAGCCCAGGCUGGACGCCGGGAAGUCGAAGACCCCAGCCCAGGCAGGACCCCGGGAGGUCGAAGACCCCAGCCCAGGCAGGACGCCGGGAGGUCGAAGACCCCAGCCCAAACAGGACCCCGGCAGGGCGGGGAACCCAACCCAGGCAAUACCCAGGCAGGACCCAUACCCCAGCCCAGGCGGGACCCCGGGAGGGCCGAGACCUCAGCCCAGGCAGGACUAGGAAGAGCCAAGACCCCAGCCCAGGCAAGACCCCAGCGGAGGCAGGACCCUGGGAGGGCCAAGACCCCAGUCGAGGCAGGACCCUGGGAGGGCCAAGACCCCAGCCCAGGCAGGACCCCGGGAGGGCGGGGAACCCAGUCCAGGCAGGAGACGCAGGGAGGGUAA
rnacentral:lncRNA from 13 species